rnacentral:misc_RNA from 1 species
GAAAUGCGAUAAGUAGUGUGAAUUGCAGAAUUCAGUGAAUCAUCGAAUCUUUGAACGCACAUUGCGCCCCUUGGUAUUCCAUGGGGCAUGCCUGUUCGAGCGUCAUCUACACCCUCAAGCUCUGCUUGGUGUUGGGCGUCUGUCCCCGCCUCCGCGCGCGGACUCGCCCCAAAUCCAUUGGCAGCGUCCCCUCGCCCCCCUCUCGCGCAGUACGAAUGCGCAUGACGAGGGAGCGGCUCCCGGGAUCGCGACCCACCCCCAAGAUGACCACCGUCUUUGACCUCGGAUCAGGUAGGGAUACCCGCUGAACUUAAGC